GUAGUAUUGCUAUCCCCAUUGUCUAGUUUUGACAGAGUAUAACUUCAGCUCCCUUGAACACUGUAUUUCCGACUGAAUGAAGGCAGAGUCUGCAUUAUUGUUAAUCAAGUGAACUGAGAGAAGUCCACAUAGACUUCAGAGCUAAGGGGAGGCUUGGUGAGCUGCUAAUUCGGAAAGUGAGAAUGAAUUACAAACUGUUUGUUGUCACCCUAAAAAUUGAAACAACAUUUCUAAAUUCCUUAAACAAUGUCAAAUUCACCUAAUUUUCAUAAGAAAUUACUUAUUUCCUAGAGGAUAGAUAUACCUUUUCAUUUUAUUCUCCAGGUUCUCAAAUACUUGAUUUUCUUCCAUAUCUCAUCUGUCUGUUGAUAUAGUAAUCAUUGUGUGAACAUCAACGAGCUGAAGAAAACUUGUCUACAGUGGAAUUUAUUAGAAGUUCGUGAAAAUGGCUACAGCAGACUUCAGAAGAGUCGAGGUGAAGAAGCAUACAUUCAUCAGCCAUUGAAGAGUUGCACAGCUGAGUGGUACUAAAGCAGUUCGCUAAAAGAUUGAUGUCAAGAUUUGUCUAAAUAAUGCUCAUGAAAGCAGAUUUGACAGUUCCACAUGCAUCACUACUUCCCAACUAGUGUGAAGAUGAGAUUUGGAGCACAGAGCAAUCUCAUCUGAAACAUUUCUGGGCUUCGUAUCUUGACUUCUAGUACAGCUAACUUUGGGUCAACUCCUGCCCUCAACUCCUUCAGACACAAUGACUUUGUUCACUAGUGACCAGUCAACUGUCAUAAUACCACAUGAUGCCAGGGAACUCCACCAUUUCUCUGAAAACAAACACUGAACCAGGAUCCUCACAGAAGCCUAUACUCUCCCAUUGACUGGAAGAUGCUGCUUUAGUGCCCUCAACAAGAUCUUGGUUUUCAUGACAGCUGGUUAAGGCUAUGGACUUUGUGAGGAAGCUUUUUCCAAAAACAGGAUUGAGAAAGGACAUAGAAGACUGGAGAGUAAAUACACUGAAAUGAUUCACACCACCUCAAAUGAGUAUCACAGAUGAACCAAUGAGAUCCCUGAUAAUUCACAUUGGAGCUAGACUGAGGAGAGAUGGGCAAGUCUAGAAGACGAUUCCUCUCGGGGUGAUUUGAGAUGUUUUUGUGGACUUUCAUGACCACUGUCUUCAUGUCUGUAGGUAAAAUGCUUAACUUGAAAAGUUUACAAGUACCUUUUAAGUUUGGUUUUUGACAGGCUUGAAAAUGAUACUCCUGCAUAUAAUUUCUAGAGUAACUGUGGCAUUCUGGGACAUAAUAGUUUUCAAACACCUUAUGAACUCAAGUUUUCUUUGAAUUUUUUAUACCUUUUCAUCCAGUCUGAUUUAACCACCAUCCUCUUCUUCUUUAUCAACACUAACAGUCACACUACAGUCACUGUACUGAUGCUGAUUUUUUUUUUCUUCAGAAUUUUAAAGUAUUAAAUCUGCAAGUAGGUAUAUGCAGUAGAUAUGACCUUAAUGCAUUUGUUUGGUGACAGCUGAAGGCAAAUAUUCAUAGUGUAGUUGUAUUUGCUGAAAAGCAGAGACAGCAAAGUAAUAAAGACAUGAACACUAUUAUUGUAGAUUUUUGUACAGAGUAUCAUAGAAUGGCUCGGGUUGAAAAGGACCUAUACUUGAAAGAAAAUCUAGACGUGGUACAGUUGCAUUCAGUCAGUCCAUAUUCUUAUCUUUUCCUUGUAGUCCUCCUUUUUAAUUAUGUAGACUUGGAUUAUUCAAUAGAGUUACGCUGUCUGUGUGAACAGGGUGUGUGUGUGUGUGUGUGUGUAUACAUAUGUAUAUAUGAUCCUCCUCUGGUAUGGGGAGCUGAAAGAAUUGGUUAUUUUUGCUUCAGAUUUGCUUUGUCUACACAAAGUCAGAUAUUUUAUUCUGGUAAAUAUAUAUGACAUGGAUAUAAUUUGAGUGCUAUUUAGAGUUUAUUUCCAUGCUAAGGGAAACCUCUUAUAAUAGUGUAAUAUUUCUACUGCCAAAAUCACAGUCACACUAAGGGCUGUACUGGUGCAGACGUAAUAAAUCAUGCCUUAAGAUAAUAUCGCCCAUUAAUUUUCUGAAUUGAAAUGAGGAGUAAUUCUUCACAUGAUCUUGCUCACAAGUCAGAUGAACCAAUGUACUAUAAACAAGGCAAAUUAUUUUACAUACUUAUGAAUAAUUAAUUUUCAGUUAUGUAGAGGCUACAGCUUAUUUUGCAAAGGUAGUCACCCAGCUGGCACAUCUUUUCUCCUCACCUUCCAACACUAGAGAUGGGCACUUUGUUUGUUUUUUUUAUUGUUAUUCUAAUAUUUACUUUAUACUGGGGGAAUAUAUUUCACAUAAUCCAAUAUUUGUCUUUCUUAAUAAUCUUUUCUGUACUACACCAUUAAUGUGUUUUAUGUUUCAGUUUCUAGAUGAUUAAUGAUGUGCAUUAUAGACUUUCAGAUACUCAUAAAAAAUUCUUUCUAGUGAUGUGAUUAUAAAAUAUGGGUCACUUACAAAUAAUUCUGUGCUGUUCCUGCCAUAUCAGUGAGUUUCAGACCUGGUGAUCCAUUAAUCCAAGCAUGCAGAUGAGAAGUUUUGUUUCCCUUUUACUUUUCUGACUCUGCAUAACACUCAAGGUCAUGUAAUCACACUCGUUUUGGCGUAGUAUUUGCCUGUUUGACUUGUUUGUGCCAAGAGUUACUGUAGCCUGCCAUGAAAAGGAGCAGAAAAAGCUGCAUCAAAAAAGGCGGAAGUUAGAUGUGUAGAUCCUUAUCUUUAGAACCAUAAUAAGCCUCACUAUACUGUAUUGCAUAUUUUUGCGUUAACAAAAUUGAAUUGAAAGAGUAUGACGUAAAGGAUCACCUCCUAGUUAGAUCUGUGACAAGAUUAACAUUUUAGACAUGGCUGCUAUUUUCUGAGUGUGAUUAAUUAGACAAAAGGAAAAUUUGGCUUAAUCUUACCCCUUGUUGGAUAUCUAAAAUUGUUGUACAAGAAACCUUUGUCUCUCUUGGUAGUGUCUGGACAGAAACAGUGCUAUUAAAUCAAUACAAACCAAAACAUAGUAUUGAAAGAAGGUCAGAUGAACUGUUUCAUAAGAGUUGAGGGCUUGUGAAAAAGAGCUUGUGUAAAGUAAUGCUGUAUAGCUAGCUCUUCUCAUAUGUUGUUCAAUCUCAUUACACUUUUGUCUUUUCCCAUCUAUUUUGAGAAACCAGAAUUACCUUAAUCAUAGAAUAGCUUGGGUUGUAGGGGACCUCAAAGAUCAUCCAGUUCCAACCCCCUUCUGUUGCAGGCAGGAUUGCCAACCAUAAAUCAGGCAUCAGCUCAGGCUGUCCAGGAUCCCAUCCAAACUGGCCUUGUGCACCUUCAGGGAUGGGGCAUUCGCAGCUUUUCUGGGUAGCCUGUGCCAGUGCCUCAGUUGGCUGAAGCAAACCAGGAUCUGGUUGCUGUAACAAGUUUCCAAAUUAAUAUUAGAAUGUCCUUCCGUGAGGGAAUCUGAUGAGGUGUCACUGUAAAUCAAAAGAACUUAGAAGCAUUAUAGACGUGGACCAAAACCUGUUGAGCCACUCUGGUAUAGUCACGCAAUGCUCAUUUACAUUAUCUCAUCUGUGAUUAGGUUAUGAUACAUGAAUGUUUCCACAAACCUGGCUGUCCAGGUAAAAACACUGAACCAACAACAAGGUGUAAGUAAAUAUCCAUAGAGAUUAAAUGGUGGGUGUACUGGUCAAAGUGAAUGCUGAUAGUAGAGUUUAGAAAACAUCUUUAGAAAGUUUCAGUAAUGUAUGUUGCGCUUUUCUAGUCUGUCUGGGACUUAAUCACCAAAGAUAGUGGGGUAACAUUUGAUAUUUUCAAGAUGAUCUCUACAUUCCUAAGUAUACCUUCACUAUACUAAUAAUACUUUAAAAUUUUGGAGUACUCCAAAUUAGAGUAAUUUACCGCAUAUUGUUUCUUUGUUGUUUUUUGUUUGUUUGUCUGUUUGUUUGUUUUUGGUGUUGUUUUCUCAAUAGAGCUACAGCUAAAAAUAACAUGAAUCUUGACUUUACAACUAAAGAAAUAGAACAAAUAAUGCAGGAGUGGCCAUCUCUCCAUCAAAAGAUCAGUGACUAAUUCAUUUGACAUAAAUACAAAACCAUGUAUUUUCUGAUAUCUAAUCAGAAUAUCUAAAGUAUGUGUUCACUUUGGGCAUUUUACAGGCUGUUCUUAUCAGAAAGAGCCUUGUUUUGGAUAUGUCUGUGUGGAUAUGAAUUUUCCAGUCAUGGAUAUGACAUAAUUCAGUAGAAAAGCUGUCGAUAAAGGUCACUGCAAUGAUGUCUCAGUAUGACAAAGAGUUAUGUGCAAUCUGUGUAUUUCUGUUGGAAACGCAGGAGCUUCUUAUGUGGUUGUCAGAUGUUCAAGGGUCCCAGUGGGAGUACCGAGAGACUUGCCCUCCUGCUCUGAAAUGAUUACCGCAGGAGUAGCCAAGGAUUUCUUCCUGGCAGAAGUCUCUCACGACAUAAAUUAUUGUCUAAGUCUGGGACAAGAAGUGGAUCCAGCCACACCUGGACUCCUUCCUUCCAUGGUUCAAGGAGUUUAGAAACAAAUGGGGUACACUCUGAAUCUCAUGACUCAACAGGAGGAUCUCCUAUGUGCGUUUAACCCUACUCUCUCUGCAACAAAUAAUCAAGUCUAUCCAGCCAUCUUGUAUCUCAUUAAGUUGAUGCUAAAUGACUACAUUGUAUCAAUGAAUGUAUUCCUGCUUCUCUCAUGAGUGAAGUGCACAGUGUAGUUGUUUCCAUCUGCACUGUGACCCUCCAAAGAACUGAGAAAUUUCUCUGUAAUGUAGCAGGGCUGCUUUUAUUUUUGCCUUAGAACUCCCUUUACCACCUCCUAUUGACUCCUACUUCUUGCACUAUGAAGUAAAGGAGUGGCAGAUAUGAAUCUGGAUUUAAAAGAGGUCUGGUGUAAAGAGCUAUCAGCUGGUGACUGGUCCAAAACCUGAGGAAUGACCAAAAUGUAAUGGUAGCCUGUUUUCAGUUUUCUUAAAGUGGCUAGAGUUUGGAGAAAUAGAAUUUUCCUAAAAGUAAAUUUUGGCAGUGCAGAAGCUUGUUUCUUGCUACAAACUUAGCUAAGAUUAAAAAAUUGUGUAUAUUGAGGGGUGAAAGUCCGUGAUUAAGAAGUAACAGAUCCUGUACAUGCUACAGCAGAGGUGCAACCUUUGGUGACCCGUAAGUAGGACUAGCCAGGUUUGUCUAGGGCUGCACAAGACCCACAGACAAGAAUGCGAUAGCCUAAUGUGACUUGGUGACAGAUAGAGAUGACUUGUAAGUCCUGAAAGUCAGGACUCCAGGCAGUGGCUUGUCUCAUUUGCACCUGAGGCUAUCUGCAAGUAAUCCAUGGUUUGGAAUGAGAUCCUUGGAUAAUGUGGAUCUCUUUGUGGCUGCUGCUUUAGCCCCAUUCCACAUCAAACACCCUAUCACAUGGCCGUGAAGCAGUUGAAAUGCAUGAAUUUUUCUCAGAUAGUGCUCCCAGCUGGUGAAGAAAAGGAGAAUGGGCAGUGUGUGCAGACCUGUAAAAGACUGCUGCCAAAGCUCCCUCCCUGCCUUCACCAUGUAGCUUUUUGUGCUGUAUAAAGAGGAAAUGUGUUAGCAAGUCUUAUUGAUACCUAACUCGGGUUGCCAUAAACCCCGAGCACGCACUGAGCUGCAGGUCCCACGGAGCAGAUGGUGCCUCUGUGGGUGGUGAUGAGAAAGCAGCACUUGAACUAUUUCAGAGCUUCUGAGAGAGCGGUUGUGCCAAGGACAUGUAACUGGGGGAUGAAGGGGAAAGCUAGCAGUAAAAUCCUUAUGUACCUGGGGAAGCUUAGAGGCAAGUGGGUUCAAUGUAGUGCCCAAAAGCAUCGGGCUGGGAACUACUCCUUCUGUGAAACGCACAACCAAGACACUGGUCUGUUUUCUUUAGUUCACCUGCAGGAAGUUGAAAAUGCUAGCCACAUGGCAGCAGAGUGAAAAAUGUUAUCGCUGCCUUUGAAAACCAUAGGACGUGGAACAGAGAGGGUUUUCCCCUUGGCUCACACGCCAGGAGCGGUAUGUAGCCUUGUUUUGUAAGAAGCACAGAAAUCUUGCAGCGCUGGAAAAGAAAAUCUUACCUGCAAAAAAAAAAUGGGAGAGCCAGGAAUGUAUUAUGCAGGAAUGAGUCUAGCCAAAGUAAGCAAAAUCUACACAACCCACACUUCCCAAAUUAUCUUCCUUUCCUGCUUAAUGCACUGUAAAUGAAAUUCAGUUGGACUUUUGACAUUAUUGUGGGCUGGACUUAUUCCCAUUUAAAUUGUACAUAGAUAGGAAUUGAUGAUAAAGCGAUACUGUUUGAACAAAUAGCUCACUUCCUUUGCAGUAAUUACUGUUGUUAAUGUAUUAAUAAUGAUAAUAAUGUACCGCAUUAAUAAUAGUGCCUUUUUUCACCAAGAAUCCUAACAUACAUGUGAAAUAAACUUGUGCUGUAUAUGUGCAAUCUUAACUGAAAACAUCCAACAUCACAGCUCUUCCUGCAAAUCAUUCCUUAAAACACAGGAAGAUUAACUUUCCUACCAAGUAUUGCACUUUUAAUACCUCUGCUCAUUCCACUGUAGAGCUUAUAAAAUGCUUUCCUCCAAAAUAAAUCUGUAGUAUUAGACUGUCUUCCUAAGGGAGCUCCUCAUUUCUUUUCAGUGCUCCAUUCCUCUUAGUUUUGAUUUUUCUUAGAUUUUCAUAAGAACAAGAGAAAAUGUGGUGGUACAGACAGACUGCUAAUUGAACCAUGUUAUAUUUUCAGUGCUUUCAUUCUGCCUUUACUGUUGACACUUUGGGUGUGCAGAAAACAUGAGGUUUAAAUAAGGAUGCUUUGGAGGAGUUGGAAACUGGGCAGUGAAAUCCUUUCCACCAGGUAUGACAUUUCUUAGCAAUAGUGAACUGAGAGUGCUCCAUCACUGCCUUUAUCAUACAACCAUAGAAUGGCUUGGCUUGGAAGGGACCUCAAAGAUCAACUUGUUCCAACCCCCCUGCCAUGAGAAGGGUUGUGAGCCAAUAGAUCAGGCUACCUGGGGCCCCAUCCAACCUGGUUUAAGGCUGAAACAUCUCAGAGCAAUAAGGUGUAUGUGUGUGUAGUGUACAGAAUCUGUGAUACUGCCUGAGAGUGCUGAGAACUUGUGUUUUUCCUUUUAGGAUCUGUGAUUAUAUUAUCUCUAGCCAAGGUAGACAGUAGAAGUAAUCAGUAUUGGCACUGUUCUUUAGCCUUGUGUCAAAAUUUAAUCAAUCUCUGUACUUCCUGAAGUACAUUUUUACGUAUUAAUUAUCUUAUGGUUGGGAUGCAAAUUAAAUUUAUUGGCUUUCUUCACCAAAUCAAAAGAUUAGAAAGUAAGGGAAGGAGAAAGACUGAUGUUAAAUCAAUGCUAAAGGAUAAAGUCAAACUGCAUUCUGAAAAACAAAGUCGAGAAAAUACUUCUCCAGCAAAACCAAACCAGAACACAAAUCUUAAGUUGCCAAGAAAUGAAAAUGCCUAUUUCUUAGUUAAAUGUUUCAAUAGUUAGAAGAAUGAGGGGAAAAAAAUGGUGUCAGCUAUAGCAUUUUGUGUGUGGUUGAUAUAGUAGCAGUACAAGUCAUAUGAAUACCCUGCCCGUGAGUCCACAGACUGACAAUGUGGCUAUUAUCUGCAGUUCAGGGCUACUGGAGCUUUGGCUACAGGAGCUGAAUCUACAUGGGUAAACAAAAUGGAGGUAUGAACACUGGAAUCUAUCCAGGAUGCCAAAUUGUUAACACUUCUACCUGUUAAAAAUGCUUAAAUGAUGUAACAUCCAGCAUGUAAGGAAGAAUUGUAAAAGCUGCCUGAGAUCCCAUAUUAUUCACAAGAAGGCAUGCAGAAACUUAGCAGCAGCAAAUAUGUAUCUCAUCUGUUAACAGCUCUUGUGGUUAUGGAGAACUAGGAGGGUUCAUGCUUGAUGCUCUAUAGGGCCAAUAGCACAGCCCCUGCCCUCCUUCCCUUUCUGCCUCUUAUGAACAUCUCAUGCUAAGCCUCACCCCUACUCCCUCUGUGGCCAUGUUACCACAUAAUAAGCAUACACUUGUAGAUGAAAGUAAAUCAGAAAAACAUUUUCUGAAGCUGGAAAGAGUGUCUUUUUCUGACUUAGCUUUGUCCAUAGACCACUCUUUAUUUGCAGAUAAGAGCAAUCAUCCAGGAAGCCAAUCAGUGACGAGCAGCACAGUUUGAAUUCGUACACACACCCUUAAUCCAAAUUCACUUCCGUGAGGAGAUAAGCUUUCAGUAAGUUUACUAAUCAACCUGUAUGCAUGGAGAAGGCAGAACAGGAGGUGUAAUUUUGCUGCUCAGUUUAUUUUCCAUGAAAUAUGUUUAAUUUAAGUCAAAGGUAAAAUGAGAGAAGUUCUCCCAUACUAAUUUCCAUCAGAAACAUUUCUCUUUUAAUGAGCCAGCAUUUGUUGAUAAACACAGACAAAAACUGUAAAAAAAAAAAAAAAAAAAAAGUAAAAAAAAAAACAAAAAACGAACAAACAAAAAACCCUGAACACAUCAGUAUGGGUUGAUGUGCAAUACAUCUGACAAGCUUAGAGGCAAACCAUCCUGCAGCUAUCCUAAAUUUGGCUCUGUAGAGCCCAAUGAUGACACGUAGUUGGUCAUCAAAAGAAACUGAAUUCUUGUUAUGCUAUAAGGAAUCCUUAGUAAGCUCACCAGGAGAAUAUGUGGAGGCAGCUCGAUGUAGCCCAUCCCUUAGGAAGUUUGUGUUGUUCGGGAACUUUUCCAGAUUGUGAAACUGAGGCACAGUUCAAAAAGGAAGAGAUGGGUCUGUCAUCUGCAGUGAAAGUGCUCCGUAAGUCUGGGUCAUUCUCACAGGAAUUACCAUGUUUAUCAGACCUGGUUUGUCUUAUCAGUGCAUUGUUAGCAAUCUGAAUGAACACAGGAAAAUUCUUUUGGAUCAAUACCUUUUUGUGGUACUGUCCCUUUUGUCUUAAAUUGCAUGUGUUUUGAGGGACAGGAAUUUUCCAGCCUCAUGCAGAUCAUCUGCUUCUCCCCAGGUAGCUCCUGUCACUUACACUGACACCACGCACGUACUAAACCAAAUUCUUUCACCUUUGUUGUCAAGCUCACUCAUACAUGAUGAAAAAGACUUACGAUUGGACGUGGGCAGGAAGAAGGUGGACUCCAAUGCUAUAAAAGUUGUUCAAAAGCACUUGUUCAGUUAAAGAAUAUAUAAGUUUUGUCUGGUAGCACUUUGUCCUGGAUUCAGAAAUGCAAUGAUUUCAAACUGUAGUUGCUUCCUUAUAAUUAACCAAGCACAGAAGCUGAGCCCAUGAAAAUUGUACAGUAAACACUACUGCUUACUGGCAUAGUGGAAAGAACAAUGAGAGCGCAGAAUCCUAUGUUAAAGCCUAAGAACAACACAAUAUACUGUAUUUUGGGGGUGAUUCCAUUGUGCUGGUAUAUUUGAUUUAGGGAGAAAUAGAUGUUUUGGUCAACACAGAAACAAAUUCACCCCUGCCAUUAUGUUUGGGCUUUUCAGCUGUCCCAUGUAGUGUGUUUGCUGAAGUCUGCCUCAGCAGUUAGGCAGGAGGUUAGCUAUGCUGCAGCAGACCUGUGAAAAGCAAUUUAAUGAUUUAUUAGAUCUAUUGAAUACAGCUUUUGAAAAGCAAACAUAGCCCAUUGCAAGAACACCAUUAGUGGCACAUAGCAAUUUGCUUCACUAAUGUUCUCCUCUGACACCUCCCAAGGCAUGUCAAAAUAACACUACAGUAGCACUUGGUCACGCAGGCUGUACUCUCCUGAAAAAUAACACCAGGCCAAUCUAGGAUGAAGGAGAUGCAGUCAUCUCAUUUGCAGUGUGAAUACUUGAAGGGAGCCUCUGAUUUCAUGACUGAAUUUCAAACAACAGAUGAACUACAAAAUAGAGAUUGUCUUACAAGCCUCCACAUCUCCUUGUCAGGCCCAGCAAAAAAGGCCAGGUUACUUGAUUUAACUUCAGGCCUUGAGAUCUGCAGUGUUGUGAUGAAAAACAGGUCACAGAUAAGAUAAGCUGACAUUGAGCGACAUUGCUUCAAUUAGAGUAGAAAUUAUAAAGCUAGCAUUGGAAAAACAUGUGGCAGCUGGGUGAGGAGCACUAACACAGCACAAAAGCUGUGCUAAAUGUUCAGUUUGGCAAAGGUCCUGGACGUGCCUUUUGCAGCCAUGGUGUAUGUCAGAUCAUAUAUAGAAGGCAAGAUGAUGAAGUUUAACUUGGCUGAUCAUAUAGAAAUAUGCCAACAGUCAGGAACAUAUUGUUCAAACAGGGAAGAUGGACUUGAAUGUGCCCUAAUAAGCAUCAACAUGGCCCUUCUGACCUAUGUCACUGAAGCUCUUGUCUCUGGGCUACAAGUGAAUUCUGUUAAGAACCUCAAACAAAGCAAACUCUCUAGCCACCGGCUCCCCUUUUGGCAUCCAAAAGGAAUCAUGCUAGGUAGUAUUUCAGAAACCUGCUGAUCUCCAUCCUAAGCCUGAUAGGUUUUUUGCCUUCGCCAUUUCCUAAGAAAAAUUGUUUCAGAGCCUUUCAGUUUGAUGGCUUACAAACUAUAUCUGGUUUCCAGAUUAAGGAAAAAGAAAAGCAAACACCUUUGCAAAAGCUGUUGAUCACUCCACCCACACUGUGUUGACUUUCUGGGUGUAGAUGGUGUGUGCACCAAAUAUGCAAAUUAGCUCUACGUCCUUUACCUAAAAAAAGCUCUCUCAACACCCAAUGUUUUUGGUUCUUAACAAACAUUAUUAACAUUUUUUAAUAUAUAUAUAUUUAAUUAUUUACAGUCAAGAGGAUUAUGGUUGCAUGUAGGAAUUAGAAAAGCUAGAAAAAGGGUAUAACAUGAUUGAUAUGCAGUCACAUGGAUGUAUUAUUAAUGAAUGUUAUGCUUUAUUGUAAACAAAUGAUUAAUUCUCUCUUUACCCAGGUGGGUUUUGUUUUCUUAUUUCUUUUCUUCAUUACUGUUAUAUUGACUUGAGCUAAUUUUGUCCUAGUUUAUGUUGGCCUAAGUAAAAACAGAAAAACACCCAGUAACAUCUGCAGUAGAAAUAUAGCAUUGCUUCAAACGGACUUUAAGGACAAAGUAAUGUGCAAUACUUAAUAUUUUCUCUCCACGUGCAUAUGGUAUGCUAAAACCAAUGCAAAGAAAUCCAUGAAAAGAUAAUGAGACAUUCCAUAACUAAUUGUAUAAACGCAUUAGGAGAAUGCCAUUGGUGAUGUAAGUAGACCCUGGUGCAAGCAGAAGAAAAAAAAUACACCACCUAUGAGGAAAUCAGAAAUUAUGUCUAAAAGAAUGAAGAAACAUUUAAGAGUAAUUUAGCAUAGCUUUAAUAAUUACAGUAAAAUUAUCAUCAUCCUGAACAUUCUACCAUUUAAUGAAAUGGAAUGCCUUUGAGUAUUUUAUCUUCAGGACCGAUUUAAAAGUCAUUUUUCUCCAUGUUAUCCUUACAUCCAAAACUAAUUUCCGGUAAAUGACAAACACGUUUAUCCGGGACUGACAUAUGGUCAGCCUCUACUCCCAGGUAACAGUGAUAGGACAAGAGGGAAUGGCCUCAAGUUGUGCCAAGGGAGGUUCAAGUUCGUUGUCAGGAAACAUUUCUUCUCAGAAAGUAUGGUGAUGCAGUGGCAGAGGCGGCCCAGGGAGUGGAGUCACUGUCCCUGGAGGCGUUCAAGAACCAUGAUGUGGCUCAGUGGGCAUGCUGGGGUGGGUUGACAAUUGGACUUGGUGAUCGUAGAUGUCUUUCUGAACCUUAAUGAUUUGAUGAUUCUAUGGUUGAACUAUCGAUUUUUUCCUUAAAGUUUCACACCCGUGGUUGCAGUUUUCUCUCUAUCAAAACAUGAGAAUGCAUCUUGGUGCUAUGAAGUGUAAUAUGAAUUUUUAGCUUUUAAUUUGUUCUGUUGAUUGUGUUGUUAUAAUUAUGCUCUCUUGAUAUUGUAAAAGAAAGAUCAAGGCCUGCCAGAAUGAAUGAAACAGCAAUUUAUAAAGUUUCACUUCUGGGAUGUUGACAGUACCCAUGGUACAAUUUCAAAGCCAGAGCACAAAUAAUACUAUGAAUAUAGCAAUACAAUAAUCUAAUCUAAGUCAAACAGUUUUAAAGAAAAUCACUUCUUGAAUUUUUUUUCACCUUGGCAGUUUGUCUCAUUUAAAAAUACUGCAGAUGGUUCAGAUGAAGGUUAUUUUCUGAGACAGUGUUGCAAACCUCGAACCUUUUCUCAAAAAAACCUAAGAUGUGUGUAAAAUCAGCUGAACUAACACCUCUGUUUGUUUGACUGUGCUUCCAUAGAGAGGAAGGGCACUUGCUGCCGGCUGCAGGAAGCCCUCUCUGGAGGAGGAGAUGGCUCCUUCCCUCACAGUAACUGCACAGCCUUGGUGGGGAGAAGGUUUGGGAGGGCAAACGGUGCUAGAGGAGUGUGAGAGACAUAAGGUGAGCUUGAAAUGGGAGUGCAGAUGGGAGAGGAGGUGCAGGGGCCUUCGGUUGACCCAAAGCUGACUUCAGAUGUGAGGGUGAGGAGGGCUUCCCAGGACCAUGCAGGGAGCUGGCCACCACAACUGUGCCAAGGGAAGGACACGCUCUUCUUCGACACAGCUGAAAGGGGACCUGUUGAACCCAACCUUUUAAAAUCAGCUUGGCCCAAGGGCUCUGCAGUUCCUCUUGAGAGCAAUCCUGUUGCAGAUUAUUACUUAGUUUACUAAAUUCCAGCUCCAUGGACUGGAAGCAUCUGUUUGUUUGUUUGUUUGUUUUGUGUUUUGUUGUUGUUGUUGCAUAGGAGAGCCCUUUUUGCUUUAAAAACAUUCCACUUCAGCAAAUUGGCUGGCUGGGGAUGCUGUCACACCAUUUUUGUCACAUCACCACACUACUUUCCAUGUAAGCUCAUACCAAAUGCCAGACUCAGAGAGAGAAAGGGCUUCUCUCGCUCUGUGAUCCUGCUGGUGCAAGCAUUAAUUUCACUCUAAGGAUUGUCCUGAGCCACACCAUCUCUCCAGCUAUGAUGUGAACUGAACACAUAAUGAAUUUGUAUUUCCUUCAAGGUAAGCUGUGAAGCACGACCUGCUAGUCCAGUUAGGAUCCAUUAACAACAAAGAUUACAUAUUUCAAUGUUCGCUCUGUUGUUUUGACUGUGGGAACAAGGAGAAACAGUUCUUAAUUACUAAUAAUCCUUUGCAUGCAUUAUUGAUAGACUGUUUUGUUCACAUAGUUGGAGCCUGCAGUGUUUUACUUGCUCUGUGUACAAAAUAUCUAUCUUUGCUGAUGGUAAUGAAAAACUUUUUUAUUUAUUGUCUUGUUAGGAGAAUCCUUCUGGUGUAAAGUAGCCCACUCUAUGAGGGAAAUGAAAAACUAAAAAUGUAGUUCACUUUUAAUCCUGUAAUAGCAUAACUUAAAAAAGAAAAAAAAAAGGAAAGAAAAAAAAAAAAGGUUCCUGAAUUAUCCCAGAUUUAUACACUAGAAGCUAGGAAGAAAAUCAGCCCAAAGAUAUUAGGAAGGAGAAUUUAAAGUGAUUCAGUACCACUGAGAUGUAAGAACUUUGUGGAACUCCCAGUCUCUUUCACAGUAAUGUAGGACUGUUCAUCAAACAAAAUAACGACUUAUUUCUUCAGGAUUUUUGUAGAAUAAUUUUGUUGUCAAGUGCAAUUAUAUCCACUAGGUUGAUCUAUGUGGCAUUAGCACUGAUCUCUGCCCUAGUGAUGGUGACAGGGCCCAAGGGAACAGCAUGGAGCUGUGAUAGCGGAGGAUCAGGUGGGGGUUAGAAAAAGGUUCUGCACAAGAGAACCACUGGCAUGGAACAGGCUCCCAAGUGCAGUGCAUAGCAUGGCCAUGAGCUGCUGGUGUUCAAGGAGCAUUUGGAUAGUGCUCUCAGACCUAGAGUUUAAAUUUUCCAUGGUCCUAUGUGGAGCCAGUGGUUAGACUCAAAGAUCCUUGAGGGUCCCUUCCAGCUUGGGACAUUCUGUUGUUAUACGAUCCUAUGAUACUCACAUCUGGGAUGCAAAGAAACUACUUUCACUGAGUCUUACUCUGAAGUGAAAAACCACCAUCAAUUGCAAGCCACUUAAUUCAUUAGUUAUUAAUAAAAACAACUGGGAAGUUGAGCAUUCUCUCAUGCAUUGCUCUGAAAGCAAAAUAUGAGACUGCUGGGAAAAUAUUUUUUUCCAUUUUUUUUUCUCAAAUGUUUUCCCACUCACUGAUCUUGAAGGAGUGAAAGGUGAACUAAUAGGCAUAGCUCCUGUUUCUGCCAGAAAUCUUUGUAUGACCAGUAAUUGAAUACCUAAUUAUCCAAUUAUGCAAGUGUGGAUGUAGGGUGAGAAUGUGCCUGAAACUGCUUUUCAUUUUAGGAAGACUUAAAGGAUUGUUAUUGUAAUACACUGCGAGUAGAACAACGCAGAUUAUGAAAGUGUCACCAAAUUAACUACUUGUUGCUGGAAGUGCACAGAUGUCCAACCAUGUUCACUUGGCAUUGGAAAAGAAGAACACCCACAGCGAUGCGACGGGGCUGACCUGGUUCUCAGUUCUGUUGAAGCCAGCACAAAAGAGGCAAAUUUGAAGCCAAAGAAUGACACCUGCCCCUGAAAUGGAACAGCCUGACUGACACAAAGGCCACAUCACGAAUGAUCCCUGUUACUCAUUCAUCUACUAUUUCUUUGCUUAGCAAUGCAACACACAGCAGAAGACAGUGUUCCCCCAAGGCUCCAUGUUCUAGUGCUUUACUUCACAAGAAGCGUGUGCACGGCUCACAGAUACUUUUGUUAAGCUUCCUGGGACAGUCCAUUCAGAGUUGAAAAAAGCACAUUUCCUUCAGAUAGGAUGAUCGACUCGGAAAGGUCAAGAAAAAGUGAAGUGACCCAUUCAGAAGAGUAAAGAAAUCUCCCAGAGCAAUGACAUGGCUCAUUUCAGGACGCUUUUUUCUAAUUCUAAAAUACUUACUGGGACACAGUUUGACUCCUCAAAUGGUAGGCAGACCUUUACUGUACUAGUCAAGGAGAACUGGCCCCCAGAUUCAGUGCAUGUGUACUGAGUACAGUUAUCGUAUGAUGCUUUAUAACUCUUUCCAACCUGAAAAACAACAGGAAGAAUAAAUAAAUCACAACACAGUAUGACAAUACAAACAGAAUAAUGCAAUAGUAAUACAGCCCCAGGCAGAAGGGCUAGGAUGUUCAAAUCAAUCUGAUAGUGCUGAGACAUUGAUUUCACAUCUACCAAGCUCACUCAACUGCCAGCCUCCACAAAAUCCCUUUUUUGGUCACCUACAUGGAAAGAAGCACAAGCUGGCAGCAGAAUAAAUAUAGAGGUAUGAACAGAAAUGCUAAGAGAUACCACGAUGUGUAUCUGGUAAUAUAGGUGGAAUGAAAUAUAAACAAAAUAAAAGUAAUUCUACAGGAUUUCAGCUGUUUUUUAAUAGAUGAAAGAAAAGCAAAUAAUUUGAGAGAGAAAAUAAACUUUAAAAUAAAGGUUAAUGGAUAAAAGCAAAA